rnacentral:rRNA from 1 species
GGACCCCACUGCUAUCGGGAUGGGACUAAGACAUGUUAGUUGUGCGUCUCUAAGCCAUGGUGAGACGCAGCGCACAGCUCAGUAACACGUGGCUAACCUGCCCUUGAGACGGGGAUAACCACGGGAAACUGUGGCUAAUCCCCGAUAGACGAGGACUCCUGGAAUGGAUCUUUGUUGAAAUGGUGUCUAGGGCAUGCUUCUAGGCACUGCUCAAGGAUGGAGCCGCGGCCGAUCAGGUUGUUGGUGAGGUAACGGCUCACCAAGCCUUUAGCCGGUACGGGCCGUGGGAGCGGUAGCCCGGAGAUGGGCACUGAGAUAAGGGCCCAGGCCCUACGGGGCGCAGCAGUCGCGUAAACUCCGCAAUACACGAAAGUGUGACGGGGCUAUCCCGAGUGUCGUCCGCUGANGAUGACUUUUCCACGCUGUAAGGAGGCGUGGGAAUAAGGAGAGGGCAAGACUGGUGUCAGCCGCCGCGGUAAUACCAGCUCUUCGAGUGGUGGGGAUGUUUAUUGGGCUUAAAGCAUUCGUAGCUUGUUCGGUAAGUCCUCCGUUAAAUCCAGCGAUUCAAUCGUUGGACUGCGGGGGAUACUGCUGGGCUAGGGGGCGGGAGAGGCCGACGGUAUCCUCGGGGUAGGGGUGAAAUCCUAUAAUCCCGGGUAGACCACCAGUGGCGAANGCUGUCGGCUAGAACGCGCCCGACGGUGAGGGAUGAAAGCUGGGGGAGCGAACCGGANUAGAUACCCGGGUAGUCCCAGCUGUAAACUAUGCAGGCUAGGUGUUGGA